UACCCGUCGUGACCAUUAUUUUCAUCGGUGUACGUAAACUCAUUAUAUUCCUGGUUUUACGUCGUGGGCCAUUACAGUCGCACGAACGCAAAUAACUCAACAGUCACGAUGCCCUCGAACGUCAUCGAAGUUCCAUCGAAGAGCGCGUCGAGUUCGUUUGAUUCCGCAGGAUCUUUUGUGUCUCGGUUUUUAAACGGCAAUGUAAGUUUUGCUCGAGUUACUGGAAGACUUUGUACUUCGUUGCUCUAUAAAUUUUAACGAACAACAGAAACCGGAAACCCAUGUAAAAUAGCGAAACUUCGAGAAACCAACCUGAAACGAAGAAAGCUAAUACACGUCAGAUGCGUGUUUUCUGAAGAAGUUUGCGAAACGAUAUCCAACGACUUGGAAGUGAUGGCACUUCUUUUCGCCGUAUAAUUCGCCAAUGUUAACCGCGUGCACCGUUUACGACGAUUCAGUCCUGGAUUCAGUCAGGGUAUCGCGUAUAAGAAGAUGCAACAUGAAAGGUGGUUAAGCUGACACGUGAAGAGGAUCGUGUUCGGUUAAGAAGCUACUGUUCCGACCACUCCUAUUUCUUGGGUGGCCCUUUAAAGUGGGCUCGUCCAGCCUUUCAACGAUGCAUCGCCUCCUUUCUCUUCCUCUUCGAAUAUUUGCACAGCCGAAUCGCGGUCGAUUGGAGAACCUUACGAAUGUAUUGUGU
rnacentral:misc_RNA from 1 species